rnacentral:rRNA from 1 species
UAAUACGUAGGGGGCAAGCGUUGUCCGGAAUUAUUGGGCGUAAAGCGCGCGCAGGCGGCUCUUUAAGUCUGGUGUUUAAGUGCGGGGCUCAACCCCGUGACGCACUGGAAACUGGAGGGCUUGAGUGCAGAAGAGGAGAGCGGAAUUCCACGUGUAGCGGUGAAAUGCGUAGAGAUGUGGAGGAACACCAGUGGCGAAGGCGGCUCUCUGGUCUGUAACUGACGCUGAGGCGCGAAAGCGUGGGGAGCAAACAGGAUUAGAUACCCUGGUAGUCCACGCCGUAAACGAUGAGUGCUAGGUGUUGGGGGUAUCAUGCCCUCGGUGCCGAAGUAAACACAUUAAGCACUCCGCCUGGGGAGUACGGUCGCAAGACUGAA